rnacentral:lncRNA from 1 species
ACACCCCUGACUUGGAGUUUGAUAAGGGUAUGCAUUUCUCUCCUUCCAGCUCCGAUGGGGUGUUUAAGAAUGCUGUUGAUCCACAAGACAGCAAGAUUCUUCAGUGUUGUUGGCCCCUAUCUCACCCUUGGCCUGCCCUCACCUCAUCUCUCACCCCUCCAAAUCAAGGCAUGUCUACAUUGAGAGCAAGAGAAGCACUUGACCAUUUGAUCAGGAAUAGGAAAGAAGAUGGAGGACGACUGGAAGGAAACGUGCUCAAAAUAUGACAUGAGCAGCUCAUCUCUUAAAGAAAACACACUGCUAAUGACUAUCUCACAGCACUGGUGAGCACUGAGAUACUGUCUUAAAUGCUCUAAGUUUUUUUCUUUAUAAUUUCUAAAAUAGAAAUAGCUUAUUUUACUUGAUAUAAAAGAUACUUGCCAUUAUAAUUUUGAUGUAUAUUUUUAAAGACUUUCUAUGCCUAAAGAGAAAAAAUU